rnacentral:lncRNA from 1 species
AAACAGCCUUGUUGCUCACACAAAGCCUGUUUGGUGGUUUCUUCACAUGGACGCGUGAGACAUCAACUAGAAGUGUAGUAAUAAAAUGUCAGAUUUGAAAGGACCCCAAAUAUCAUCUAAUCCAACGCUCCCCUGCCUCACACAAGUCCUGUCUCUAUUCCCUCUCACUAAGUGUUCAGCCAGCCCUGCUUACGCACCUUCAGACAGGAUGCUCACAACUUCCCACAGAGAUGCAUUGCAGCUCUGCCUAUAGGAAAUGCUUCCCUGUGACUCCCAUGCUGAGAGGUGGCUCUGACCUGUGGAAAUGCCCAGGACGAGUCUGUUCCAUUCCACACCUGGAAGCUCCUUCAGAAAUUUGGACAGGGCUCAUGUCACCUCUUAGUCUUCUCUCUUUCUGGCUGAACAUCCUUAGUUAUAACUAAUAUUCCCCCAUAAGACAAAUUCCCAAGUCCUCUGAUCACCCCACGGGGAAUACCUGCUUCAACUUUUAGGACAUCUGAUGCCUCAGAAUAAAGGCAAAAGGGGCUGGCCCGAGUGCAGUGGUGUUUACAGCGAAUUGAUCACAACCAGUUACAGAUUCCUGUGUCUUUCUCCGCUCCCACUGCUUCACCUGACUAGCCUAAAAUCAAUCAAUCAAGCAAUCAUUCAAUCAAUGCAAAUGCAUGUUCCAGGAAAUCUUUUUUUUUUUUUUUUUUUUUAAUGCAGGGUCUUAUUCUGUCACCCAGGCUGGAGUGCAGUGGCACAAUCUUGGUUCACUGCAGUGAUCCUCCCACCUCAGCCUCCCAAGUAGCUGGGACCACAGGCAUGUAUCACAUGCCCAGCUAAUUUUAUUUUUUGUAGAGACAGGGGUCUAGCCAUGUUGCCCAGGGUGGUCUCAAACUCCUAAGCUCAAGCAAUCCUCCCAUCUCAGUCUUCUAAAGUGUUGGGAUUACUUGGCAUGAACCACCACACCUGACCAAGGAAAUCUUUUAAUUAAAAAAAAAGAGGAAGAAGACAAGACAAAUGAAAUAUCCAACAAUAAGUUGGUUAAAUCAAUUAAAUAUAUCAAUUUCAUAGAAUAUUAUCCAUCCUUUAACAAAAUAUCGACUGGGCACAGUGGUUCAUGCCUGUAAUCCCAACACUUUGGGAGGCCAAAGUGAGCAGUUCGCCUGAGCCCAGGAGUUUGAAACCAGCUUCCGCAACGUGACAAAACCCCAUCUUUGCAAAAGAUACAAAAAUUAGCUGGGUAUGGUGGUGCAUGCCUGUGGUUCCAGCUACUCGGGGAAAGGGAGGAGACC